rfam:Picea glauca, whole genome shotgun sequence.
ACAUGCCUAUAACAUAGCAUUAAUGCAUUGGAUCCCAUUAUAACUCCGUAGUUAAGCGUUCUUGGGAUAGAGUAGUACUGGGAUGGGUGAUUGUUCGGGAAAUCCUAGUAUUUUACAUGCC